rnacentral:snRNA from 1 species
AAUCUUAGUUGGCUGGGGAAAUACCUUGAUCAGGAAGGUGUUCUCCCAUGGCGAGGUUUAGCUUCUGCACUCUAUAGGAAUGAUUUCCACAUUUUCUGAACAUGAGAGACUCAUUUGCCAACUGUGGGAGCUGUGGAAAGACACAAUGCUCUCUGUCCUUAA